UGUUUCUGGUAUGAUCUGACAAUGGAUACUUUUUCAACAGUCGAAUAUAUGUGAAAUAAUGCUUGGAAAAGAGAAUUUAAUGAAGAUUAUUCGAGCGGACAAUUGCAAUUAAAAGAUGAGUAUAUAAAAAAACUUAAUAUUCCUCGAUUUUUUCUUGAAUUUAUUAUCAUAUGAUGAAAUUUUUUACCACCGAGAUCUAUGAGUGCCAUGAUUAGUUUAUGUAUUUGCUAACUGAUAUUGCAUUAUUUUCUUUUUAUUUAAACAUUUUUAUUUCGACUGUAGAUAAAACAAAAUGGAAAUGUAUUUUACAGUUAUCAAUUUGGUUGUGGUAAUGAAGAAUUAUUUGAAGUCAGCAACUUAUUUGGAUUCUGGAUCGUUACAAAUUGAACAUAUAUUAUGGUAAUUUCAUUAAUUUUUUUAUAGCUAUCUAUAAAUACUAUAAUAAUAAUAAUGAUAGGAAAAUAAUAGGUUGAUAUUCUUCUUACAUCUUAUGAAACGAGUUGUUUUAGUAUUAUUAAUUAUAUUUAAUUAAAAAAGUUAGACGCGCAGAAUGUAACUAAGAUACCACGUGGUUACCUUCAAGUCCAUUAAUUUUAUUUCAAAUUACUAAAAAUUACUUUUGUUAAUUAUUGUGAAUAUUACAUACAAAUUAAAAUAUGUAAUCGUAUAAAAGUUCGUAAUCUAUUAUUCAGAAAGUCAUAUAAAUAACAAUCAAUAAAAGAAAUUUGAUUGACUUUCAUAAAUGACAAUGAGUCAGUCUAACAAUGGAUUUCGAAGCGGAUGGUACGUUCGUCUUAUAUUUUGUGCUUUUAGAUUAUAAUAUAUAUUUCCUUCGUUUAAUUAAUAAUUUUUUAAGGUGUUUCGAAUAUUCUAAUGUAUUUUAUUAAUAUUUUGGAUUGUUUUAACGUUUUUACCCAGUAAUGAGUUUGAAUUGAAAAUUUAAUAAAAUAUCUAAUCGAAAUUGUUUAAUAUUCGAAGUACAUUAAUAAAUAGGUAAUAUUUAAUUAAAUGCACUAUUGUUUAAAUAGGAUAUAUUUAUAUCCUACGUAUAUAUUUUAUUUUAUUUAAACAAUUGAAAAAAAUAAUUAUUUAAAGCUUGUACGAAGGAAAGAAUUUCGAUGUUUUUCACUCAUCGGUGUACGAAUUAAUAUCGUUUAGAUAUAUUUCGGUAACCAAAGGUAUAAAAGAAUAUUAGAUCUUAAAUUACAUAAACUGGUAUAUAAAAUAAAAUGUUUUACAACAGUA